rnacentral:tmRNA from 1 species
GGACUACGCAUGUAGAUCACGUUGCAGAGGGCUUGCGGACGCGGGUUCGAUUCCCGCCGCCUCCACCA